rnacentral:rRNA from 1 species
CCCAAGAGAUCGGGAUAACACCUGGAAACAGAUGCUAAUACCGGAUAACAACAGAUGAUGCCUAUCAACUGUUUAAAAGAUGGUUCUGCUAUCACUCUUGGAUGGACCUGCGGUGCAUUAGCUAGUUGGUAGGGCAACGGCCUACCAAGGCGAUGAUGCAUAGCCGAGUUGAGAGACUGAUCGGCCACAUUGGGACUGAGACACGGCCCAAACUCCUACGGGAGGCAGCAGCA